UGCUGGUUAUGAGAGUGUAGACU
rnacentral:miRNA from 1 species